CGUAUGCGUGUUUACGCGCGCCCACUGCCUGUAGUAACGAUUUGUUAUCGCGCUGUGCAGUUGCGAGAAAAUCGUGUUUACUGCGCCUCGAUCAUGGAAUGACAGUCGUCGUGUUCCCCAGUAAAAGCACAUCGACGGUAAUAUGUAACCCAUGUACGUAGUUUCCCACCGCCGUGUCACUCCUAAGCGCGAUCCCCGACAAACCUUUCCUCCCAGUUUGCGCUCUUGCGUAGUUUUAUAAAAAAAAUGUCGGAGACUCGCUUCUGCAUCGAGUACGCUAAACGGGGCACCGCGGGUUGCAAGAAGUGUAAGCAGAAGAUCGAAAAGCAAGCGCUGCGCAUCGGCAAGAUCGUGCCCAACCCGUUCUCAGACAGCGGCGGCGAAAUGAAGCAGUGGUUUCACGUGGAGUGCAUCUUCGAUCAGCUGUCGCGGGCACGCGCGACCACGAAGAAGAUUGAAGACGCGGGAGACCUCGAAGGUUGGAGCGAGAUCGAACCUGAUGACCGCAAGCUAGUCCUGAAGCACAUCAACGAACUGUCCGAGAAGACCGGAGUCACUGUAAGCCCCGGUAAGCGGAAGACCAACAACGCCGGCAGCACGCCUUCCAAGAAGCAGAAACUGCAGACGACUCUGUCUCAGGGUUUGGACGAUACGGAGGAACAGCUAGACCUGGGUGACCUGGAAGCGUCGCCCGGGGCGACAAAGUCCAGCAAGGACGACGCCUUCAAGGAGUUCCGUAAGCUGUGCGCCGCCAUCUCCGAGGAGUCUACCUACACGGGCAAGACGGCGAUAGUGGCGAGGUUCUUCAAGGAGGGCUGCACCCGCAAGGGCUUCACGGGAGACCUCUACCUCUGGGUCAAGUUCCUCCUUCCCAUGGUCAACAAGCGGGUGUACAACCUCCAGAGCAAGCAGCUCGUCAAAGUCUUCAGUCGCAUCUUCGGCAACGGCUGCCACGAGGAGAUGAUCGAGGACCUCGAACAGGGUGACGUCGCACGCACCGUCGGCGCCUUCUUCGAGAAGUACGGCUCCCCGGCCAGCAAGAGCACCCUGACAAUGCAGGACGUUGACGCCUAUUUAGAACGUCUCUCUCGACUCACCCGAGAAGACGACCAGACGCAACUCCUGAGGCACCUGAGUGCCCGCUGCACUGCCAACGACCUGGUCAUGAUCGUCAGGCUCAUCAAGCACGACAUACGCAUCAACUCCGGUCCGAAACACAUCCUGGAGGCACUGCACCCAGACGCGUACCAGGCCUUCCAGGCGUCCCGUAACCUGGAGGACGUCGUGAGGACUUCGAAGGAGGGAAAUGUCAGUGUCUCGGCUAGCCUGAUGACCCCGAUGAUACCCAUGCUGGCAGAGCCCUGCGGUUCGGUGGACGACGCGUUCGCAAAGUGCCCCAACGGCAUGUACGCCGAGAUCAAGUACGACGGCGAGCGCGUCCAACUGCACAAGAAGGGCUCUGAGUUCCUGUUCUUCAGCAGAAGCCUGAAGCCGGUGUCUGCGCAUAAGGUGCAGCACCUCAAAGACUUCAUUCCAAAGGCUUUCAAGCACGGCCACGACCUGGUCCUGGACAGCGAAAUCCUCAUGGUGGACACGCACACAGAAAAGCCGCUGCCCUUUGGAACGCUGGGCAUCCACAAGCGGGCAGCCUUCAAGGACGCGUCCGUGUGUCUCUUCGUCUUUGACUGCCUCCACUACAACGGCAAGAGCCUGCUGGAUCGGACACUUCGUGAGCGCCGAGAGAUCCUCAAGGCUAACAUGACACCCAUCAAGAACCACGUCAUGUUCAGUGAGCAGCACGUGAUCACAACGCGUGAGAAAUUGCGAGACCUCAUCAAUGAUGUCCUCUCUCAGGGCCUGGAAGGGCUCGUGCUCAAGAACCCCGACGGCGUUUACGAACCGGGAAAGCGGCAUUGGCUCAAGGUCAAGAAGGACUACCUUAAGGGUGGCAGCAUGGCAGACUCGGCCGACCUCGCAGUGCUGGGAGCGUACUUCGGCACCGGAAGCAACGGCGGCAUCAUGUCCAUCUUCCUGAUGGGGUGCUGGAAUCCGGCGACCGGCCGCUGGUGCACCGUCACCAAGGUCCACGGCGGCCACGACGACAAGACGCUCGAGCGGCUCCAGACGGAGCUCGAGAUGAAGAAGAUAUCGCGGCAGAUGGAGCGUGUGCCGGCAUGGCUCGACGUCGAGAAGGUCCUGGUGCCAGACUUCGUCGCCAAGGAUCCGGAUACGACACAGGUCUGGGAGAUCGCCGGCGCCGAGUUCACUCGAGCUGAGGUGCACACCGCGGACGGCAUCUCGAUCCGCUUCCCGCGGGUGACACGCAUCCGGACAGACAAGACGCCAAAGGAGGCGACGACGCUUCCGGAGCUGCGCAAGAUGUUCCAAAACUCUAGGGCGAAGCCGUUUGACCUUGACCUCGGUGACGACGAAGACAGUGUAGGGAACGCUUCGUUUGCCUCGACCGACAAGUCGUCGUCAUCGGAGAAGUCCGCUUCGCCGAGGAAAAGCAAGUCUUCGAAAAGAUCUGACUCUCCGAAACAGACCUCCUCAUUGGUUUCAAAACAAGAGCCUGAAAACAGCGCCACAAAGACUUUGUUCGCCUCUACUGAAAAGUCCACUUCAUCGAGGAAAAACAAUUCCUUGAAAAGAUCAGAUUCUCCGAUGCAGACACCACCGUUGGUUUCGAAACGAGAGCCUACACCGGGCAGAAAGCAUCAAGAAGAGGGAGCACCGAAGAUUAUCGUCAAAACUGAAGCGUCUGCAGAAAAGAAGAAGAUUUGCGACUUUCCCGACGUCUUCACGGGUGUCCGAAUGUGUCUUCCUCCUAGCAGGCUGCUAAGAAGGUACUUCGUUGCGUAUGACGGUACGCUCGCGGAGAGCGAGAGUUACGAUGUGACCCACACGUUGUCCUCACCAAACGUGGGUGUUAGACAGUCCGCACGUUCGGCAAAGACUGUUACCGUAGAUUGGCUGUGGGACAGCAUAAGACGACAGAAACGUCAGGACGAAGCGAGGUACUCUGCGUGAAUGCGAUUCUCGUUUUUGUGCCUUGGGCUCCUUUCGUAUGCUUUUGGAGCUGUGGUCUGCACGUGUAAAAUCUGACGUUGGAAGUUGCGAAGCUAUGGUGCCGAGAUUCGUGCACACUGUAUCCUUUGUGAAUGUUUGCAUUUGCCUUCAAAGAAGACUGCUGUAUCAUUCAUCCACUUAUGCCGCUGCCUUGUGUGUUCAUCAACGUACUUGUACAGUUUUUUCUUGUGUAACUGCUUGUGGAGCCAUUGUUGCUUUAUCCUGAAUAUCCUUAUUUCCGUCAAAAUGUGUUACAGUUGAACCCUUUUAUAUCAACGUUCAUAUACUGCAAAAUGUUAUUGUUAUAACCACAUUGCAAGGAAGAAAAAGAAAACAGGAGGGCAGAGCUGCUGUUACUACAUUAGGGAUCCAGUGCUCCUUUCAGCCGUGGAUUGUGUUGGCUCAUUUAUCUCGAUAACUGAGCCUGGCUUCUUCUUUGCGAAGUGGACGUACAGCUUUUCCUACUAUAGCUGAUUGACAAUAGCAGCCGUGGUGAUCCUCCUGAUAGCGACCAAUCCGCAUGCUCCUAUAACUUGAAACAAGCGGCGAUCACGGUGGGCGGCUUUUCGAAAGCUUGAAGCCAGCGGCUAUUUGGGCUCACCCAAUCUCUAUAUGCUCCACAAACAACGAGAUAAGGUGACAGGCUGCCUAUUUUCUCAGCUGCACUGGAUAGAUAAGACGUGUGUACAUUCAAUCAAUUCCCCUCUUUUCCUGAUUACUGCACCUGUGGGUCCAGGAAGCCGUCUACCUUUCUGACUCAUCCAUGCAUGCUUCUUUUUUACACUCGCAACUUUCGACUUUUGGAACAGGAUAAAAUCUUAUCAUACAUGAACUUCCCACAGAACACUAAAUUUCAGAGUCCGUUUGUGGAUGAAGGGUUGGGAGGGAGCGUGGAGACAGGCGUGUGAGCUUGGUGAUAUGAAGGCUGGAAAACCAGCCCUGUUCAAAUAACACAAGGGGCAUGUGGUACGCAGAUUGGUAAAAAAACUCGUGUUGUCUUUUUUUGUCUUUCUGGCAUUUCGUGCAGACUUCAACUAGCCACAUAUAAUUUCUACAGCCGGUAAUUUGGCAUAGGUACGUUGCAGUAAACAGUAUUUCUCGCAUAAAAAACACAAAUGUUUGUAGUGCAGCAGUUGCUGAUUGUUAUAGCCAAUGUACCAUUCAAACAAGAAUUGUUAUAAGUUGCGGAUUCGACUGCAUUUUCGCUGCUGCCUCUUCCUCGGGAAGCAAGAGCUAUUAAGGGUUUUAUCUUAUAAGCCUUCCUUUAUGUUUAAUAGGCGCUGGUUGUGAACCUUGCCGUAGACUAUGCCCACACCAAACUUAUUGCAGACAAAAGUAAUAAUCAUAAGCAUGGGAGCACAAAUGACUUGGUGGCUUACAUACAAGUGUACGUAUGCUUUUGCAUCUGUGUGUAUGUGCUAGCGCAUGUGUGUAAGAUGAAAUUUCACUAAUAAUAUUACCUCUCAAUUGUACUUAGUUGCAAAUGAAAAUUUGCACUGUGCACAAUUUUUUGGUUUUCUGUUUUUGUCAGUUUGUGCAUCUUGAAGAGGGCAUUUCUCUUACAGCUAAACACCAAUUAACUGAUGAUACCACGUCGGUGGAUGCAUUUUUCUGUCAACAAGAAUUUUGAAGCAUUGGCUGUUAUGUUGUACAGGCUUGUUCCUUGGCUGCUGUUGCCCUUCUUGGAACACGGUCCAAAACAUAAUGCUAAUCGAAACGAUAGGCUUAACAUACUGUUUUUAGUAGCUGUUGCAUGUCUCAAAGUAUGUUUGGAUGGAUAUGUUGACCGAAUUGUGAGGCUGGGCAGUGACGAAGACGAAAAAUGCCUUUCAUUUCUGUACAUAGUUUUCACAUGCCUGCACAUAUUCUUUCCUCACUUCUAUUCUUGCACAAACUCCUCGUUCACAUUAGGCAGGGCCCCUGUAACACCCCUGUUAAUUAUUUGUAAAAUGUACUUUUCAUGUUUCCAUGUGGGUUACUUGGUCCUCUAAGAUGUUUGUGAAAUGUUUGUUCAUUGCUUUGAUUUACAGAGGAACACAUAUUAAUUAUUGUCACUUUUACAACACAAAUAUUGAGCACUUGGGGUGCUACCUGGUCUGAAAUGGUCUUUAAAAGGUUCAGCACGAAAAUCGGCCACAGUGGCUUCUUUCUCCACAGUGCCCAAUUUUUGCACUGAACCUUCUGAAUAUGGAAUACCAAAUGGUCCGCUCCUGGUCCCCCCUUAAAUGGUCAGUAGUACUUGUAGUACUAGUAUUUACAAAUUUCGAUGCGUUGGUUACAUCACACAUUGUGUGCCCCCUAACGAACUAAGCAACACCACUUGUUCACGAAUUUUUCAUCUCUUCUAACUCCCACCUUCCCCUGAACUUCUGCCUCUUAAUGAACUAGAAGUAUUUGCGAGAUAUAUUUACACAUGUUAAUACAUUUUUGUAUGUUAACCACCUAAAAAAGUCUUCUUGCCACCAACUGAUCUUAUGUGCAGUGUUACUGCAGUGUGCACUAAACCAGUUAACUGACACAGCUGGAUGUUACACUUAGAAAACUGCAAGAAUUUUGUGUUUUUCACUGCACCGUUCUGUAAUUGCAGUGCUGUGUAGUUGUGGUUUUAUGCACAGCAGGGACAACGCCAAGAAGAGACUGGGUGGGGGGAGGUAGCCUCCCCGCUCGCUUGGUGUGCCAGUUCCUUUAUAGGUGCACCCCCCCCCCUUCUUUUUUCUGUAGAUCUGUAGGUACUCUCUCAUGGUAGCUGGCCCCCCCAGGGGAAAAACAUAGUGGUGCGGCCCCUUAUGCAGACAAGUUUUGAAUGUUCUGCGUAAAGAACCUCACAUAAUUUUUUGGUAUGUAUAGUUCAAGGCGAAACACGCAUUUGUGAGGAAAAAUGUUACCAAAGAAAGUGUUUUGUGGACCUGAUUUAGAGAAUACUAAUAUUUGCUUAGACACUAGUACUAAAUCCCUAAUGCAAUGCACAUAUGACUAAACAACAAAUUCUCUUGUAUAUUUGUAGCAGUGGAUAAUUUGUUACAAACUUCAACGCAAAAAAGACACGGGGACGAAGCAAGAGAAUGACAAGCACAGACUUUGUCGUCCUGCUUCGUCCCUGUGCCUGUUUUGUGCUGCAGUUGUUAGCAAAGAUGCACCAAUACAGCCAACUCGUCACUUUAAUGUAGAAUAAUUUCUAGCUUCAACAAUGCGUAUUCUGUCAAUACCAUAAUAUAUGCUGUGUGUGUGUGUGUGUGCGCGUGCGUGCAACUACCAAACGUACAUGCGAAAUUUUCAUGUUGUGUUCCAGCCAGGCUGAGAAAGCCUGAAUAAAUGCUUCUAUGUGGUUUUCUAUUCUCCACAUUUGAUCACAUCUGAAUGCAAAGUGCCUCUAUGAAUUGUGCACAUAUAUAGUACUACCAUACUUAUCGAAAUUACAAGCUAAGAAUAUUCUUUAGCAAGAACUACAAUGCAUGCUUCAGUAAACUUUCGAGUAGUCUUCGCAGGCUUUACACUUUGUCCUUGUCGCAGGAUAUUGGGAGAACAGGAAGCUCUGUUUGUCCCAACCAGGGCUCGAUCUUGCAUCCGCAAUGCGUGAGCGAUCAUUGUCAUCAGUGUCAUCAACAAGCAGCUGCCAUGACUCCUUGUGUCAUUCCUGUCUUUCGUUUGGGAGGACCUGUACAGGCCUUUAUCACAGCGGCACUACAGAGCUCAACACUGUGUUUGUCUAUGCUUUCCGUUGGCGCCAUUGUCUUAUGUUAUCAGGCCACUUCCCCAUCGUAAGCUUCACUUGGUCCGUACAGCAAACAAAAAUAAAGUCACCCAUCUCCACUAGUUGGAAUUGCACUUGUUCACUUGUGACAAUGUGUACCAAUCACUGCAAUGUCAUACCAACUUUCAUGCAAGGUUUCGUGCACCGUGUGCAAAUGGUGCAUCAUACGAGUGGUGGUGGCUAUGCAUGUAUUGCAGUGACCAGAGUAAGCAAUACUGCAAGUUGUUCUUGAGGGGAUGGCAGUGUCUGCUGUGCAAGCCUUCUGCUGACACCAUACAGUUUCCUGCUAUAAUAUUUUAAUAUAUUGCAUCUGCCUCUUAUGCAGUUACUUGGUCUGCUUUCUUCGCCAAUCUGCUUGACACGUGUACAUCAUUUGGCUGUCCAAAUUAUGCUGAAGAUAGUUGAGAAAAUAGGUUUGUUGAAGGAGUACUGACACCAAUUUUCGAAGCUGAGUUUAUUCCCUCAUGCAAAUUUCCUGUAUAGAAAGAUGGCUCUAAACAAGUGUGAAGCUCAGUGAAUGCUGACGUCAGGUACGAAAACAUUCAAAAUGGCCACU